UACGUAGGCAGCAAGCGUUGUUCGGAGUUACUGGGCGUAAAGGGGUGUGUAGGCGGUCCUCUAAGCUUGGUGUGAAAUCUCCCGGCUCAACUGGGAGGGUGCGCCGAAAACUGGAGGGCUAGAGUACUGGAUGGGAGAGUGGAAUUCCUGGUGUAGCGGUGAAAUGCGUAGAUAUCGGGAGGAACACCAAUGGCGAAGGCAGCUCGCUGGGACGGUACUGACGCUGAGACGCGAAAGCGUGGGGAGCAAACAGG
rnacentral:rRNA from 1 species